GCUGGGGCGUGACCAGGCCGGCGGGCGGCGACGACGACUCUCUCGCCCGUUUUGCGGCAAUCUUUUUGAGAGGCAGCUCGACCUGUGAGACAAGAUAGUUGCACAUAAGUGAACGUCCACCGACACGGCGGAGCACGCGCGCGCUGCGUGAUCGCGCUGCGUAUUCUCCUGCUGUCAUACUUUCCAUUGCACUGAGUUAGAAUAUUUGUUAAAUUAAUUUUUUUGAAUUUUUUUUUAAAGGUUUAAUUAAUAAUAGGUUAUUUCUAGUCUUUUGGAAAAUAUGUUUAUUUUAUUUCCAAAACUACUCACUUUAUUUUCCAUCAACGGCGGCGUUGACGGCGGUGAGAGGGGUCCGCAAACUUCGAGCAGAGUGGACAUUCUGGUUAGAAUGGGAACAUUCAACAGAUAAAAACUUUCUUUUUAAUUCACAAAACUUGUGUUAUUCGCUGCGCGCUUCCGCUCUAGGGAGGUGUGUAGACUGGCUAGCGAGCGACAGACGAAUAAACCGCUUCGCGCGUUGUCGACGGACGAAGUAUGCGAGCAGCCGGGGCGCGCGGGACGGGACACCAAUGGGAGCGGACGGCGCGGCUCCGCGGGCCAAUCGACGCGGAGUGAUCACGCAGGCGGCUCGUGGUCGCGCGUGUUCUUCACGUGCACACCGAGUGACGGACGGCGAGGCCGCAGCGUGACGUCAUCGGCGCGCCCCCGCGUGACGUCGCGAGCCACGACAAGGUCGCCGCUUGCCGCCUGCAUCGCCAACAAUCAACGACAUUCGGAGGCGCUGAAAAAAGCGGUUUUUCGGGAGAAAACGUUGGCUUCCCACCGGCCCUGAUAAUGUGUAACGUAUUGCUUAAUAUUUUAUCUAAAAAAAAUUUAUGCACCAAUUUAUGUGAGACAAAAACUAAUGUUUGUGUUAUUAAUAAUAAUAUAUAGGUACAAUGCUUCACGGGUCAGACAGGGCCGCCAUUUGCCCAGGCCUGGUCUAGAGAGACCAUAUCAGCGUAACCUUAACUAGUAGGUGAGCUCACGGGGCUCAAACCUGACGAUUUUGCUAACACGAACCCUAGCAAGAGGCGUGCUUCGCAGAAUCUACCACCGAAUCGGAAACGCGACCCACUGAGAAGAUCCGUAGAAUCCGCCAGAAACUCAGUAGGCUUAUAAAUACUAAUGAUAAGUUAAGAUCUCUUUUGUACAUUUAAAUUGAGCUUUCUCGUUUCAAUUCUUGUGCAUAAUGAUGAAAUAAAAUAAAGAAAAUAAAACUAUAA